UCACUAGCCAUCCUUUCUUCUCUGGUGCCUUUCUCUCCAUUCGUUUUUUUGGUAAAUCGGAGCUGGCGACUCCUUAUUGUGUAACCUAUUUUUAAGAGCCAACCAUGUGAAGAUGUCCGCUUUUUCUUUUUUUCUUUUUUUUUGUUUUUGGUACACCGAUGUCUCACACAAUACGUAUAUGAGUACAACCAAUAAAAUUAAAAAAAAUAGCGAAAAGAUUAAAAAACAUCCGUUUGUGUCACCCAAAAAGAUCUACUAGAGUGAUGCGCCGCGAAGAAGGGCAUCCAGUCAGCUGUACUGUUCGAUUUCCGAUAAACAUAGGUGGCUCGAAAGAAGCCAUAACCCCCAGCGAUCAUACGGAUGUCGUGAAGUAAAGACUGUCCGUUCGUCACAGUGCACCGAUCUUAAAUCUUCUCGAUCAUAGUAACCGAUUCUUCUUUAAGAUAAAUUCUCGCAUAAAAGAUGUCUUUCCACACCGCACCAGCUCAGCUGCGAGGAGAUCAAAAUUUGACCAUUUUAUAUAGGUUUAUUCCCACCAAGAAGAACAGCCAUAUGAAGGGAAAUAGAUAGAGAGAUUCGAGCUUUUUGAGUAGAAUAAUUGAGGAGAGAGAGAGAGAGGGCCACGUGACGGGCAGGAGCUACCAAUCAUGACUUGCCCGAAUUAUUUAUGUCUCCAAUCUCUGCCCCACACGAAUCUCAAAGCAAAGAAGGAAACAAAAAAGUUAUUUAUGCCUCGUGUGCUCGGCACGUGAAACGGAAAAAGCCGACUCCUCGGAGUCCGGCUUCUUCCCGGACUCCAACGAGCACAAGGAGUCGAGGGCUCGCCGCUAGAUUCAUCUUAUAAGAGAAACCCCUCUCUCCCCUCUAGCCAUCCUGCCCAAAUCCUCCGAUCAAUCGUCGGCGAAUCCAUGCGAUCUCCUUUGAUGUUUCCGUCAAGCGAACUAGCGAACCACCGCCCAUUCUCGUCGGAAAAGUGGGCCGAGAAGACUUUGUCGGAGACGUGCAAAGCCUAACUAGGCGGGACAAUUCUCAAGACAGAAAGGUGUUGCGCAUGCCACUUUGCUCUCGAGUUUAUAGAUUGAAAAGAUGAUCGGUGUACCUGUUGUUUGAGUCUGUCACAGGUAGAAAAAAAAGUUCUGUACAUAAUUACCUAUAUGAAUAAUAUGUACUUUAUAAUAUGUGUUGCUAAUUUUGAGAUUUGCAU